GCAGAAUAUCCAGCUCCCUAUGCUUCAAAGAGGGCAUCAUCAUAUCAUACCAUAUCAUGUAUAUUAAAGGGGAAUAGUGAGAGAUGAUAAGGGAAUCAGAAAGAUGUUACACCAGGAAACAGGUUUUUGAAGGAAGGGAGCAGAUUUCAGAAAACACCCUUACUUCCUGUUCUCACUAAGCAGCCUAAUGGAGUUUGCUUCACAGAUGGGGAAAAUCUGAUCAUUUCGUAAAAUAGAAGAUUUCCAAGCAUUCCUGAAGAAAAGACCAGACUUAAACAGAAAAUUUGAUGUCCAAAUACAAAAGUCAAGAGAACCAUAAAAAGGGAAGAAAAAGGGGGAAAUGCACAUUCAAGGUGUUGUUAAUCUCUUCUACCUUUCAGCUUUCAAACUCAAGACCUUCUGUCCUUUCCAAAGCGAUGAUUUGGUUCUUCAUCCUUGCCUCAGGACCCUGUCGUGCUUCUGUGAAAAGGGGAACUUUGACAUGUCUAGUCAAAACCAGCAACCUCUGUGAUUGCUCCUUCAUGUCAGCAACACCUGUUUUCUUUUCAAGUUCUUGGUCAUGUCAGAACAUGCUGCAAAAUGAUACUAUUACUGCUACUGGCUUGUCAGUUAUCUGACAGUGAUGUGGGCUGGUAGUGGGCAGGAAGGGGUAGUAAUAGGAACAGGAUCCUCAUACUCUGAAAUCUUGCAUUUCUUGCUAGUUAGCAUUUGUUAAACAAAUGCAACACCUGUAUUUUCAGCAUUAAUCAAACAGGAACUGCAUAUUGUUCAAUUAUUCACUCUGUACCAGAUUGGUAAUAUUCUAUGCUAGACAUCAGCUUUAUACCUACUCUGUUUUAUUAAUUGCUUACAUUUUUCUUAGAAAUAAUUACACAUAGUGUUUCUCCAAUGUAACAUAUACCCUUUCUGUACCAUAUCCAUUUCCACUUUGGAAGGGCAUCAAGACCUCUCCCUGACAAAUGAUGACAAGGUGGACAAUGGAGGAACUUGGAACCUGCACACUAAGACCUCCAAUCUUGUACAUGCUCCUUAUUCCCUAACCUACUAGCCCUUGGGCUUAUCCAUUGGCCCUAAGACUACCUGAGUAGCCCCCAGACUAUACCACCAGCUAUUACACCACCAUAAACUUCUUCAAAUAAAAUUAUUUUCUUACUUCUGGACUGAAUGGAGUUUGAGUCUCACAUUCUUGAGAUGAUACCCUGCUACAAAUUUGGGUAUAUUCCUCCCACAUCAAUAGUAAAGCCUCCUAUAAGGCAAUAGGAAAUAUAUUCAGCAGCAGGCCCAGUGAUAAUGCUUCAGGACUAGUUCUGUUUCAUGUCCAUGUCCCAAAUGAUGUGCCUGAGGAACUACUUAGAGUUUCUGUCCUUGAUUCCACUGUUGGAAAACUUGGUUAUGUGCUUUAUUUUUAUCACUCUCCUUUUUUACUAUGUUUAGUUUUAUAAAUGCCUUGUUGACUCAUUUCAUUGAUAAUUUUUCCAAGUUAAUGGGCUGUUGGAAAAAAAUAGGCUAUGGAAUCAGAAAAUUCAUAGGAUCUUAGAACCAUAAAAUCUUUAACACAUUCUGGCCAAAUUUUCUAUCCAGUGUUGAAAGCACUAUGAUGACAUCUCUACCAUCUAGAUUUUCUUGCAUAGAUAAAAGUUUUCUGAGGCAAUCCAGUCAAUUUAAGGACAGUUUGAAUUGUUCAUAGGAUCUUUCUGUUUUGAAUUAAGAUGUGCCUCCUCCUGAUUUUUACCAUUCAUUACUCUCCUUCUCCCAAUCCCCACAGAAAAUAAAUAUCAUGAAAUAUAGUGAAAGGAAAGUGAAAUAGAAGUAGCCUAGCUUUUCCUCCAUAAGACAGCCCCUAAUGCAUUUGCAAAGAAUAAGCAUGUCUCUACCUAAGACCUUCUUGACUAAUUUCAUGUAGUAAUUUAGGCUGAUAGUGAUAACAACUUUCUGCUAUUCAAAAGGUAGUUCUUAUUCUAGAGGAUCUUUGAGGGGGAAAAUGACCCAGAGAGAAGAAACAGAUGGUCACUGUCUGAUUUUUUCUUAUAAACUGUACAUGACUAAAAACCUUUCUUGACUGAAAAACCAUUUACUUUUCUAAUAAACAUGGAUAUGCAAUAAGAAGAAAAUGUAUGGCAAAUGUGAAAAGUUUUAAGGCUAAAUUUAAUAAAUUCUGUAAAAGAACAAAGGGAAGAAA